UGGGGGGGGAAAUCAGUAGGUACACAGCAGGGGGUCCUCCACACUAAACCAGCUCUUGUCUACAAUUUCAGUACCAGGAGCACCAGAGCUGACAGUUCUCCCUGCAUACAUUGCCUCAGGUCUCCCUGGGAAUAACCCUUUGAAACAGCUGGGAAAGCAUCAGCAGAACAGCAGGUCUACCUCAGACACAUGGAUUGGAAGACCUGGAAACCAUCAAUAGAACAGGUCUCCCUCAGUACACAUGAAUUGGAAAACCUAGAAAACCUGGAUAACCUGGGAAAGCAUCAAUAGAAC
rnacentral:lncRNA from 1 species